AUUCCAAGCUUAGAGUUUGAUCCUGGCUCAGGAUGAACGCUGGCGGUGUGCCUUAGGCAUGCAAGUCGAACGAUAAGCUUCCUUCGGGAAGUGGACAGUGGCAGACGGGUGAGUAACACGUAGGUAUCUACCGAAGAGUGGGGAAUAGCCAGCCGAAAGGUUGGGUAAUACCGCAUAAUCCCUCCGGGGCAAAGUAUUUAUACGCUUUUCGAGGAGCCUGCGGGCUAUCAGUUAGUUGGUGGGGUAAUGGCCUACCAAGACUACGACGGCUAGCCGAUGUGAGAGCAUGAUCGGCCACAAGGUUACUGAGACACGGAACCUACACCUACGGGUGGCAGCAACCGGGAAUAUUGCGCAAUGGACGAAAGUCUGACGCAGCGACACCGCGUGCAGGAAGACGCUUUUAGGAGUGUAAACUGCUGUGGCGAGGGAGAAAUUUUGAUAGUACCUCGCUAGAAAGCACCAGCUAACCACGUGCCAGAAGCUUCGGUAAUACGUGGGGUGCAAGCGUUAUCCGGAUUUAUUGGGCGUAAAGGGUCCGUCGGCGUCUUUAUAAGUCGGUUGUUUAAGACUGAGGCUCAACUUCAGAGAGGCAAACGAUACUAUAAGGAUAGAGUCUGUUCGAGGAAACUAGAAUUCUUGGUGGAGGGGUGAAAUCCGUAGAUAUCAAGAGGAAUACCAUGCGCGAAGGCAGGUUUCUAGGACAUGACUGACGCUCAGGGACGAAAGCUUGGGUAGCAAAAGGGAUUAGAGACCCCUGUAGUCCAAGCCGUAAACGCUCCUUGCUAGUUGCUCGAGUUUACUUGAGUGGCGUAAGCUAACGCGUUAAGCAAGGCGCCUGGGGAGUACGACCGCAAGGUUAAAACUCAAAGGAAUUGACGGGGGAGCGCACAACCGGUGGAGCAUGUGGUUUAAUUCGAUACAAAGCGAAAAACCUUACCCGGGAUUGACAUGUACCUGCACGGCUAUGGAAACAUAGCUUUCUUCGAGAGUGGUACACAGGUGAUGCAUGGCUGUCGUCAGCUCGUGUCGUGAGACGUCCACUUAAGUGUGGUAACGAGCGCAACCCUUGUUCUGUGUUAUACGUGUCACAGAAGACUGCCCUAGUUUUACUAGGGAGGAAGGAGAGGACGAUGUCAAGUCAGCAUGUCCCUUACACCUGGGGCUACACACAUCCUACAAUGGAGCCGACAACAGGUAGCGACGAGGUAACUCUGAGCUAAUCCUCUAAACGGCCCCUCAGUUCGGAUUGAGGGCUGCAAUUUGCCCUCAUGAAGCCGGAAUCGGUAGUAAUCGCAAAUCAGCAGGUUGCGGUGAAUACGUUCUCGCUCCUUGUACACACUGCCCGUCAAGCCAGCAAAGUCAGCAACGCCCGAAGCGGGUGACCGUAACUAGUUUACUAGAGCGGCCCUUCUACGGCGAGGUUGGCGAUGAGGACUAAGUCGUAACAAGGUAUCCGUACUGGAAGGUGCGGCUGGAUCACCUCCUUAGAUCUGGAUCCCCUCUAGAGUCGAC
rnacentral:rRNA from 1 species